rnacentral:rRNA from 1 species
CCCUUAGAUGUUCUGGGCCGCACGCGUGCUACACUGAGUGGAUCAGCGGGUCAGGUUGCGCGAAAGCGUUUCCUAAUCUUUAAAUCCGCUCGUGAUGGGGAUUGACGGUUGCAAUUUUCUGUCAUGAACGAGGAAUACCUUGUAAGCGCGGGUCAUCAUCCCGCGCUGAAUACGUCCCUGCCCUUUGUACACACCGCCCGUCGCUCCUACCGAUUGAGUGGUCCGGUGAGGCUUUGGGAUCUGAGUGGAAAGAGCGUUUCGCUGUUUCUGCUCGGAAAACUCAGUCGAACCUUAUCAUUUAGAGGAAGGAGAAGUCGCAACA